rnacentral:rRNA from 1 species
CCUACGGGGGGCAGCAGUGAGGAAUAUUGGUCAAUGGACGAGAGUCUGAACCAGCCAAGUAGCGUGAAGGAUGACUGCCCUAUGGGUUGUAAACUUCUUUUAUAUGGGAAUAAAACGUUCCACGUGUGGGAUUUUGUAUGUACCAUAUGAAUAAGGAUCGGCUAACUCCGUGCCAGCAGCCGCGGUAAUACGGAGGAUCCGAGCGUUAUCCGGAUUUAUUGGGUUUAAAGGGAGCGUAGGUGGAUUGUUAAGUCAGUUGUGAAAGUUUGCGGCUCAACCGUAAAAUUGCAGUUGAAACUGGCAGUCUUGAGUACAGUAGAGGUGGGCAGAAUUCGUGGUGUAGCGGUGAAAUGCUUAGAUAUCACGAAGAACUCCGAUUGCGAAGGCAGUUCACUGGACUGCAACUGACACUGAGGCUCGAAAGUGUGGGUAUCAAACAGGAUUAGAUACCCCAGUAGUC